rnacentral:rRNA from 1 species
GGGAAACCGGGGCUAAUACCGGAUGCUUGAUUGAACCGCAUGGUUCAAUUAUAAAAGGUGGCUUUCAGCUACCACUUGCAGAUGGACCCGCGGCGCAUUAGCUAGUUGGUGAGGUAACGGCUCACCAAGGCGACGAUGCGUAGCCGACCUGAGAGGGUGAUCGGCCACACUGGGACUGAGACACGGCCCAGACUCCUACGGGAGGCAGCAGUAGGGAAUCUUCCGCAAUGGACGAAAGUCUGACGGAGCAACGCCGCGUGAGUGAUGAAGGUUUUCGGAUCGUAAAACUCUGUUGUUAGGGAAGAACAAGUACCGUUCGAAUAGGGCGGUACCUUGACGGUACCUAACCAGAAAGCCACGGCUAACUACGUGCCAGCAGCCGCGGUAAUACGUAGGUGGCAAGCGUUGUCCGGAAUUAUUGGGCGUAAAGCGCGCGCAGGCGGUUUCUUAAGUCUGAUGUGAAAGCCCCCGGCUCAACCGGGGAGGGUCAUUGGAAACUGGGGAACUUGAGUGCAGAAGAGGAGAGUGGAAUUCCACGUGUAGCGGUGAAAUGCGUAGAGAUGUGGAGGAACACCAUGGCGAAGGCGACUCUCUGGUCUGUAACUGACGCUGAGGCGCGAAAGCGUGGGGAGCGAACAGGAUUAGAUACCCUGGUAGUCCACGCCGUAAACGAUGAGUGCUAAGUGUUAGAGGGUUUCCGCCCUUUAGUGCUGCAGCAAACGCAUUAAGCACUCCGCCUGGGGAGUACGGUCGCAAGACUGAAACUCAAAGGAAUUGACGGGGGCCCGCACAAGCGGUGGAGCAUGUGGUUUAAUUCGAAGCAACGCGAAGAACCUUACCAGGUCUUGACAUCCUCUGACAACCCUAGAGAUAGGGCUUCCCCUUCGGGGGCAGAGUGACAGGUGGUGCAUGGUUGUCGUCAGCUCGUGUCGUGAGAUGUUGGGUUAAGUCCCGCAACGAGCGCAACCCUUGAUCUUAGUUGCCAGCAUUCAGUUGGGCACUCUAAGGUGACUGCCGGUGACAAACCGGAGGAAGGUGGGGAUGACGUCAAAUCAUCAUGCCCCUUAUGACCUGGGGCUACACACGUGCUAC